GUAGCUAUGUUCGGAAAAGAUAACCGCUGAAAGCAUCUAAGCGGGAAACUUGCCUCAAGAUGAGAUCUCACUGGGAACUUGAUUCCCCUGAAGGGCCGUCGAAGACUACGACGUUGAUAGGCUGGGUGUGUAAGCGUUGUGAGGCGUUGAGCUAACCAGUACUAAUUGCCCGUGAGGCUUGACCAUAUAACACCCAAACA
rnacentral:rRNA from 1 species